UCAGUGUAUGAGUCUGAGUUACAAUUCACU
rnacentral:piRNA from 1 species